UACAUAUUUAUAUAUAUUCGUGCAUGAAAAAUUUUUUAAUGGGAAUGGUCGGUCCAAAACAAAUAGCAUGCUAAGGUUCUUUUAUUGGACCGGUCAUAAGCACAAUUCAUAAAUUGGAAAACGUAACCUGAUACUGAAAGGUAAAUGGAAAGUGACUUAUAUUAUAACCUAAAAAGAUAGAUAUCUCACCCGACGAUUGGUAAAAAAAAGAAAUGGAGAUAAAUGAAAAAGUUACAUUACUACAAUUUCUUUUGUUGUGAAAGCAAUGAUGAAGAUGACGAUUUAAAAUUUUUAAUGAAUAUGUCUUCAAAUAAUGACGAGAGCAAAGAGAAAGAAGUAGAAGAUUUUAUUACAGUUACUGAUUUAGGUCUAUACAGACAAAGUGAAACACAAAUUAGAUCUUGCGUCAAAGAAUAUGUGGAAAGAAUUGUUUCUAAUUAUAUUGCUGAAGAAUUUAAAAUACACUUCAGAUUAUUUCUUACAACCUUUGAAUUCUUAUUAGAACUAAUAGGACUCAUAUAUUAAUUAAAUCACUUAGUGGCAGAAAGCUAUUGUACUAGUCCAGAAACAGCUUCUAUUAGCUUUAUGAAUGAUGGCAACACCAGAUUCAUAUAGUGCCUCAGGGUGAGAGAGCAACCAAAGUGAUAGAAGAAUUUGAAAGAGCUAGUGGAUUUCCUAAACUU